UCCGGUUGAUCCUGCCGGACCCGACUGCUAUCAGGGUGGGACUAAGCCAUGCGAGUCAACGUAGCAAUACGUGGCGAACGGCUCAGUAACACGUAGUCAACAUGCCCAGGGGACGUGGAUAACCUCGGGAAACUGAGUAUAAACCGCGAUGGGUCAUGAUUUCUGGAAAUUAUGGCUGAAAUCUAUAUGGCCCCUGGAUUGGACUGCGACCGAUCGGGCUGUUGGUGAGGUAAUGGCCCACCAAACCUGUUACCGGUACGGGCUCUGAGAGGAGGAGCCCGGAGAUGGGCACUGAGACAAGGGCCCAGGCCCUAUGGGGCGCAGCAGGCGCGAAAUCUCUGCAAUAGGCGAAAGCUCGACAGGGUUACUCUGAGUGAUUUCCGCUAAGGAGAUCUUUUGGCACCUCUAAAAAUGGUGAAGAAUAAGGGGUGGGCAAGUCUGGUGUCAGCCGCCGCGGUAAUACCAGCACCCCGAGUGGUCGGGACGAUUAUUGGGCCUAAAGCAUCCGUAGCCGGCCCUGCAAGUCUUCCGUUAAAUCCAUCCGCUCAACGGAUGGGCCCGGGAGAUACUACAGGGCUAGGAGGCGGGAGAGGCAAGCGGUACUCAGUGGGUAGGGGUAAAAUCCUCUUAUCCACUGAAGACCACCAGUGGCGAAGGCGGCUUGCCAGAACGCGCUCGACGGUGAGGGAUGAAAGCUGGGGGAGCAAACCGGAUUAGAUACCCGGGUAGUCCCAGCUGUAAACGAUGCAGACUCGGUGAUGGGCUGGCCUAGUGCUAGCCCAGUGCCGCAGGGAAGCCGUUAAGUCUGCCGCCUGGGGAGUACGGUCGCAAGACUGAAACUUAAAGGAAUUGGCGGGGGAGCACCACAAGGGGUGAAGCCUGCGGUUCAAUUGGAGCAACGCCGGGAAUCUUACCGGGGGCGACAGCAGAGUGAAGGUCAAGCUGAAGACUUUACCAGACAAGCUGAGAGGAGGUGCAUGGCCGUCGCCAGCUCGUGCCGUGAGGUGUCCUGUUAAGUCAGGUAACGAGCGAGAUCCCUACCUCUAGUUGCUACUCUUGUUCUCAGGAGCAAGCGGGCUAAUUAGAGGGACCGCCGCCGCUGAGGCGGAGGAAGGAGGGGGCUACGGCAGGUCAGUAUGCCCCGAAACCCUCGGGCCACACGCGGGCUGCAAUGGUAAGGACAAUGGGCUCCGAUCCCGAAAGGGGGAGGCAAUCCUCAAACCUUACCACAGUUAUGAUUGAGGGCUGAAACUCGCCCUCAUGAAUAUGGAAUCCCUAGUAACCGCGUGUCACCAUCGCGCGGUGAAUACGUCCCUGCUCCUUGCACACACCGCCCGUCGCUUCAUCGAAGUUGGUUCUUGGCGAGGUAAUGCCUGAUUGACAUUAUCGAACCUGGGGUCAGCAACGAGG
rnacentral:rRNA from 1 species